GGUCAUCAAAUUUCUCCCCUAUCAACUUUCAACGGCUGGGUCUUGGCCAGCCAUGGUGACAACGGGUAACGGAGGGUCAGGGCUCGACCCCGGAGAAGGAGCCUGAGAAACGGCUACUACAUCCAAGGAAGGCAGCAGGCGCGCAAAUUACCCAAUCCCGACCGGGAAGGUAGUGACAACAAAUACUGAUACAGGGCUCUUUAGGGUCUUGUAAUUGGAAUGAGUACAAUUUAAAUCCCUUAACGAGGAACAAUUGGAGGGCAAGUCUGGUGCCAGCAGCCGGGGAAAUUCCAGCUCCAAUAGCGUAUAUCAAAGGUUUUGCAAGUAAAAAGCUCGGAGUUU
rnacentral:rRNA from 1 species